CUCUUUAAUAUUUUUAUUAGUGAUAUUGCAGAAGGUCUUGAUGGUAAGGUAUGUCUUUUUGCUGAUGAUACUAAGAUAUGUAACAGGGUUGAUGUUCCAGAAGGGAUAAGCCAAAUGGCACAUGAUUUAGGUAAACAGAAAAAUGGUCAGAUUGUGGCAACUGACAUUUAAUGUGGAUAAGUGCAAGAUAAUGCAGUUUGGACAUAAAAACCCAAGGGCAGAGUACAGAAUAUUUGAUAGAGUCCUAACCUCAACAUCUGAGGAAAGGGAUUUAGGGGUGAUUAUUUCUGAUGACUUAAAGGUAGGCAGACAAUGUAAUAGAGCAGCAGGAAAUGCUAG